UACGAAGGUGGCAAGCGUUACUCGGAAUUACUAGGCGUAAAGGGCAGGUAGGUGGUUUGAUAAGUCUGUUGUGAAAGCUCCCGGCUCAACUGGGAGAGGCCAACAGAUACUGUCAAGCUUGAGUAUAGGAGAGGAUACUGGAAUUCCCGGUGUAGCGGUGAAAUGCGCAGAGAUCGGGAGGAACACCAAUGGCGAAAGCAGGUAUCUGGACUAUUACUGACACUCAGCUGCGAAAGCUAGGGGAGCAAACAGG
rnacentral:rRNA from 1 species